AGUGAACGCUGGCGGCGUGCCUAAUACAUGCAAGUCGAACGAAGUGGCGCACGGGUGAGUAAUAUAUAGUUAUUCUGCCCUAACCAGAGGAACAGCAGUUGGAAACGACUGCUAAUACCUCAUAGUGUAGGAUGAGACUAUAUCGUUUCAGCUAGUUGGUAAGGUAAUGGCUUACCAAGGCUAGGACGCGGAACUGGUCUGAGAGGAUGAUCAGUCACAUUGGAGCGGAGACACGGUCCAAACAGCUGGGGGAGGGAGCAGUAAGGAAUAGUGCGCAAUGGGGGAAGCGCUGACGGAGCAACGCCGCGUUGAGGAUGACACUUUUCGGGGCGGAAACUGCGUUUAUCAGGAAAGCGGUACCUGAUGAAUAAGCACCGGCUAACUCCGUGCCAGCAGCCGCGGUAAUUC
rnacentral:rRNA from 1 species